rnacentral:tRNA from 1 species
UAUAGCUCAGUGUUAGAGCAUUUGGCUAGUAUGCACAAAGCCAUGGGUUCAAUUCCCAGUA